UACGAAGGGGGCUAGCGUUGCUCGGAAUCACUGGGCGUAAAGGGUGCGUAGGCGGGUCUUUAAGUCAGGGGUGAAAUCCUGGAGCUCAACUCCAGAACUGCCUUUGAUACUGAAGAUCUUGAGUUCGGGAGAGGUGAGUGGAACUGCGAGUGUAGAGGUGAAAUUCGUAGAUAUUCGCAAGAACACCAGUGGCGAAGGCGGCUCACUGGCCCGAUACUGACGCUGAGGCGCGACAGCGUGGGGAGCAAACAGG
rnacentral:rRNA from 1 species